AUGGCCAGCGAGGAGGAGGUGCGGGUGGUAGAGUCUUGCUUUGUAACACCGGCCGCGGACACGCCGAGCAGAGCGCUCCGUCUGUCGCGGCUGGACCUCAUGCUAGUCCACGGAGGCUACACCCCAGUCGUCCACUUCUACCGUCCACGUACCGGCGAUGAAACUACCUCCGGUGACUUCUUCGACGUGACCAGGUUGAAGACGGCGUUGAGCAAGGCUCUUGUGCCCUUCUAUCCGUUGGCCGGCCGCUUCAAGGAGGGCGUGGACGGCAGGAUGGAGAUCGACUGCAAUGGAAAAGGCAUGCUCUUCCUGGUGGCUCACUCUGGGCAUGUACAAUGGUGCUAUCUCAACUUCGAGCCAUCGCCAAAGCAAAGGAGGCUGUUUGUUCCCCACAUCGACGGCUCAGCCGGCCUCUUGUGCGCUAUUCAGGUGACAUUUUUGAAGUGUGGCAGCGUGGUCUUAGGGAUGGCAACCCACCACGGCGCCUUGGAUGGCACUGCCAUGUUCCACUUCCUCCAGACAUGGACUGCUUUCUCUAGGGAUGGCGACCGAGCUUUGGUGGACCUCCCCUGCCAUGAUCGCUCCCGCUUGUAUGCGCGCGAUCCACCUGUUGUUCAUCCCGAUGCCCUCUUCGUUUUUUGCCCCAAGAUGAUCCUAUCACAAACCUCUAUUGUCAACAAGCUUGAGGUUUUCACCGUCCGUAAGGACCAUCUUUCUACUCUUAAGCUCACGUGCGGUGGUGUGAGCACCUUCAGUGCACUGACCGCCCACACGUGGCAAUGCAUGUGUCUAGCUCGGAGGCUACCACCAGACUCCACAACACGCCUCGCAUUCAUGGCCAAUGUCCGACGCAGAAUGACGCCACCGCUCCCAGACGGUUACUUCGGCAACGCGAUAAUAAACAUAAAUGUCGCUGAAGAAGCACAAAGCAUCACCUGUGGCGACCUAGCCUUCGUGGCACGCCGUAUCAAAGACACCAUCAGCCGGGUGGACGAUGAGCUAGUGCAUUCGGCGGUCGACUACGUCGAGCUAGCAUUAGCAGAGAGGGACAACCGCCAUACCCCGGCGAUGGGCAACUUGCCGGUGACAGACAUUAGAGUGGUCAACUGGCUUGGCUUGCCGUUCUAUGAUUUGGAUUUCAGCUGGGGAAAGCCAUUUGCUGUGAUGCGUGCAGAAUCAAGCCGCGGAGGUCUUGUGCACCUGAUGAACAGCACACAGGGGGAUGGCAGCGUGCAGCUACUCAUCUAUACAGAGGCUGCAAUUCUCAUGGAGUUCAAGCGUUUGUUUUAUGCCAAGUUCGACGAUAUGCUGCAUUCCGAGUUCUAG
rnacentral:rRNA from 1 species